GUGCAACCCUGGAUGGUCCAGAUGGAUGGAGAAGUGGAUGGUUGGUGGACGGCCACCCUGUUUCAACAAGGCUGUGACGUCAGCAAGGCGGUGAAGUCUUGUUUUGGGCCGGAAUCAUGGGAAGAGCUGGUCGGCCUCUUUAGGGUCCCUGAAGGUGUAAAAAUUACCUCUGCAAAGUAUGUGGAGUUUCUGACCAUUUUCUUCCCUGAUACAGAAGGAAGAACUAUGGUUUUCGUAAUAAAAUCAUCUUCGUGCAUGACAAUGCACCAUCUCAUGCUGCAAAGAAUACCACUGCAUCAAUAGCUGCUAUGGGGAUAAAAGGAGAGAAAGUCAUUGUGUGGCCUCCAUCCUCCCCUGACC